rnacentral:lncRNA from 1 species
UUUCGAUUAGUGUUGCCGAUCGAUAGACAACUAUCCUAUAUAUUAAGAUAUAUGUAGAAGUGAGGAUCGCGACCACAGGUUAUGGUUUUCCACUUGGUACGGCUAUAUGCUGCGUGCACCGCCCUCUGUAUGCUGCCGCCCAUCGUCUUCUUCACGAUGUCAGAUCACCUCGUAGGCGCCCUUCCUCGCGCACGUUUGCCAUCUAUUUGCCCAAAGAUGAUCUGCUUCUCCAGACUGUGCUUCGGAGACCGCAUAAUAUGUCCGAAGAAGCUUAGGGCACGAUUCCGGCAUAUUGAGGAGAGCCGCGUUGUGAUCUUGAGCUCUUUUAAUAUGGACUCAUUCGUACACGUAAAUAGCCUUAAAUUACCAAGUAGAGAAAGUCCAGCAUGAGGUGAGCACGAAGUUUUGAAGACAGGAGUGAUUGUAUUAGAUUUCCUCCUGAGCAGUUGCACUACAAAUUUAGUGAUGAAGAGGCAAUACUUGACAGAAACCUUAAGUGGGAUGACAUAAUUAUAAAGAAAAUCAAUAAGAGGAUGAACUCUUUUAAUGUUUAUAAAACAAUAGUAUGGAAGAAUUUUGAUGCAUCUUGGAGCAAUGGCAACAUAUUUGGGAGUUGUGAGUGACAACGAGCAGAUUACAUAACAAAGGGAGGAUAACAAGGGCCUUAACUGAAAAAACUGGUGAAUGUUCCCAAAUAAACCUCACAGAUGUAGAAGAAACACAAAAUAAAUUUGUUUAUUUAUUUUAUUUCUGUUCCCUACUAAACUAGUAAUAAAACAUACUUUUUACAAAUA